UACAGAGGGGGCAAGCGUUAUUCGGAAUUAUUGGGCGUAAAGGGUGCGUAGGCGGUUUUUUAAGUCAGAUGUGAAAUCCCCGGGCUUAACCUGGGAACUGCGUUUGAAACUACAAGGCUAGAGUGUAGCAGAGGGUGGUGGAAUUCCACGUGUAGCAGUGAAAUGCGUAGAGAUGUGGAGGAACACCGAUGGCGAAGGCAGCCCCCUGGGUUAACACUGACGCUCAGGCACGAAAGCGUGGGGAGCAAACAGG
rnacentral:rRNA from 1 species